rnacentral:tRNA from 1 species
GGUGGCUCAGUGGUAGAGCGCUUGCCUAGCAUGCAUGAAGCCCUGGGUUCCAUUCCUCAGCACCG